UACGUAGGGACCGAGCGUUGUCCGGAAUCAUUGGGCGUAAAGAGCGUGUAGGCGGCUUGCUAAGUCUUGCGUGAAAUCUCGGGGCUCAACCCCGAGCGGUCGUGGGAAACUGGCAGGCUAGAGCGCGGGAGAGGAGAAUGGAAUUCCUGGUGUAGCGGUGAAAUGCGCAGAUAUCAGGAAGAACACCCGUGGCGAAGGCGGUUCUCUGGAACGCAACUGACGCUGAGACGCGAAAGCGUGGGGAGCAAACAGG
rnacentral:rRNA from 1 species